rnacentral:tRNA from 2 species
GUUACUUUGGCAGAAUAGUGUAAUAGAUUUAGGAUCUUUAAAUGUAUUUUUAUACAGGUAAUA